rnacentral:tRNA from 1 species
AUACCGUUCGCCUAGCGGCUCAGGGCAGCACCCUUUCAAGGUGCCAUUCACGGGUUCGAAUCCCGUACGGUAUGCCA